rnacentral:rRNA from 1 species
UCAGGACGAACGCUGGCGGCGUGCUUAACACAUGCAAGUCGAACGGUAAGGCCCCUUCGGGGGUACACGAGUGGCGAACGGGUGAGUAACGCGUGAGUAACCUGCCCUUGACUUCGGGAUAACAGUCGGAAACGGUUGCUAAUACCGGAUAUACAGCUUCCUAGGCAUCUGGGGGGUUGGAAAGCUUUUGCGGUCUUGGAUGGACUCGCGUCCUAUCAGCUUGUUGGUGAGGUAAUGGCUUACCAAGGCUUCGACGGGUAGCCGGCCUGAGAGGGCGACCGGCCACAUUGGGACUGAGAUACGGCCCAAACUCCUACGGGAGGCAGCAGUGGGGAAUAUUGCACAAUGGGCGCAAGCCUGAUGCAGCAACGCCGCGUGCGGGAUGACGGCCUUCGGGUUGUAAACCGCUUUCAGCAGGGACGAAGCGUGAGU